AUAGGUAUGGCCUUAGAAAAGCGAAAAAGAGAAGAAGCGCAGGAAGUAGGUGAAACGAAAUGAUGUAUAGAUAACAAAUGUUGCCUAUAUUACUACCUGAAAGAGAUUACCUAAAAUAUUGCAGAAAGGCCAGACUUUAACAAGGUUUUAAUUUACCUUAUUCAAUUGAGUGAGAUUGGUUCUGACGUUUGACGGAAUUAGGCAGGGAAAUGGAGAAGGCUUAUCAGACCAGCGACUUCGACAAUGUUGCCCCACAUAUUUGUGAAGUUCAUUCACAUAUUGAAGACACUUUGUGUUCCGGCCCUUUCCUGAACCCCGCGUAUAAUGCACCGGGCUGCCUUUUUAUUCACAUACUAAAGAUAGCCUAUUUUUGAGAUUGUGUAAGAUAAAGAAAAUACAAAGGAUAUGGAGCUGAACGUUGCUACUAUAGAUGCAAGUACAGUGCAUUCUUCAGCGUGUUUCAGAGGUUUCAUAUGGUGAGGGCUCAUGAGCAUGAUCUUGAAGAAAGCUUUUAGUGGAGACGAGCUCCCGACAAUAUGGUUCAGAUGUCAUUUAAUAUGUAUUGCGAGAAUUUUAUAUUUCUUUUACUAUGAGCCCAUAAUGCAGAGCUUGGAAAGGCAGACUCAUGGUCAGAUUCGAUUCUAUGAAUGAAAAAGAAGUCAGCCUCUGAGUGGCAUUACACAUGUGGCAUAUUUUUCGAUUAUAUUUCAUAUGCAAUAUCCUCCGUAUCAGAUGUAAUUUGCACAUGCAAUCCGUAUGCUUUUAGU